CGAAAAUAGCCAUUUUGUGAUGAAAUAGUCAGAGGAAAAACGUGUUGAAAUUAUCGCGAGGAAAAUAAGGAAUUAUCAGAGUAAAAAUAGCCGUAGGAUAUAGCGGAAGACGACAAAUACCCGCUGAAAAGGAGUAUAGAAAAUCGCCCAGGAAUUAAAGAGAAAAUAGAAUACGUCCGGAAAGGUGGAAAAAAGGGAGUUCGAAGAAGCUCAGUCGAGAAAAAUAUCUUCAACCACCGCCCACCGUCGACACAUCCGACCUACAUUGUCUGAAAUAAAUAGUACAUUAGCCAAUACAGUCCACUCUAGUUACUGCCGUCAGCAACACUAAUAAAGAAAU